rnacentral:ribozyme from 1 species
UGCCCAGCAACUCCUAUCCCUACCUCCUCGCGGUACUGGCCGGGGUACGAGUAACCUUAGGGAAGAUCGGGUAACCAACCCCCGGUGGGAACUUUGGUCGUAUGCUGACAGGAAAGG